rnacentral:sRNA from 1 species
CCAUGCGUGUUGGAUUGUAAUUCCUUGAUUAUUCACUUCGGUGGUUAAGUUCAAUCCAGUCUCGAUCUGCAUUUGACCUUUUAUUGCUUCUUGAUCUCUACAUUGAUAUUUCUAACAUACAGCCUAAUUCUAACUUCAUGCUCGACUCUCAUAUUUAAGAUAUGAUUUGCUCUACUGAAACAAUGUAGGGUGUCAACCCGCCAUUUUCAGACAAAAAAUGAACUUUCAUCAAUGAUUGCCUCAUACAGUACAAACCACACAGAGACAUAACUAAAUAGCUGGCAUGCAUGGCUUCUGCAUGCAUCAACUUGGCUAUUUCACAAAACGAACAAAUGACUUGUGCAAUGUUACAAUAUCAUUGAAACCCUACCAUGAACUCAAACCGCAAAGGAAAUAUAUCUUUGACAAAUGAAUGCUUUUUAUUUUUUUUUUUUUUAUUUCUAUGCAAACUGCAUUAUAGAGCAUAGACUGCUGGAAACAAACAGG